rnacentral:rRNA from 2 species
UAAGGCAUAAAGUGAUCCGCUUGGGGAGUCCGGGUGCAAGGUGGAAACUCAAGGGAAUAAACGGGGACAGACGCGGGCGAUCGAGCAUGUCGUAUAAUUGGUAGCAUCAAGCAGAUCCUUCGCGGGGUGCGACAUGUCCGAGUGAUUUCCAGAGAUUAAUCUCUUCCCUUCGGCGAUUGGAACACAGGUGCCGCGGGGCUGUCGUCAGCUCGUCUCGUGAGAUGUUGGGUUAAGUCCCUAAGCGAGCGCAAGCGUGCCCUCCAGUUCCCAUCAUUUGGGCGGGUAUUCUAAAGGUACCGCGGGUGAUAAGCCGGAGGAAGGGGGGGAUGCCUACGGCAUGCAGUCGUCAUGGCCUCUCCGCGCUGGGGUACACGCCCGCUCCAAUGGCACAUUCACUGGGCACGGGAGCAUAACAGCGAGGCCGAGAUAAUCCCCAAAAGUUGUCUCAGUUUGGCUUGUUCUCUGCGACUCGAGAGCAUGAACGGGCGGAAUCGCUAGUUAUCUCGGAUCAGCACGUCGCGCUGCUAAUACGUUCCCAGGCCUUGUGCACACCGCCCGUCACACCAUGGGAGUCGGAUUCAUCUCCGAAGGCGUUGCGCCAGCCCGCUAAGGAUUAGGCAGGCGACC